rnacentral:lncRNA from 1 species
AUUUAAUUACAGUUUCUGUACUUUCAGAAAUGGAAUCUCAAACCUGUCACUCAGGAAUUGCCUGAUCAGUGCUAGUGAGGUAAUCUGCCUGGUAAUACUCCAGACAUCUCCCAAAGAAAAGUAGCCUUGCAAUAACCAAUCUCUCUCUCUCUUUUUUUCCUGCCUAGUAUAACUUCCUAAUUCCUGUUUUCUUCUGCCUAUAAAAGUCUUUCGUUCUGAUAGCACCUUGGAACUCUUUUCUAUCUGCUGGGCUAGAUGCUACCUGAUUCAUGAAUUGUUGAGUAAAGACACUAAGAUCUUUAAAAAUUUCUUAGUUGAAUUUUGUUUGUAACAGUGCAUAUAUGUGGUUUCCUUGCUGAAGAGUCGAAAUCAGGUAGAUUUUUUUCCCAGCAUUGUACGAUUGUAGAGGUGCAAUCCCCAGGCAGGCCUACAAAUAAUAUAUGAUUUUGUACCUCGUUAUUCUUCAGAAUCCCUAGGAGAAAAAUGGCUCAGGAUAGAAAGUGGAAGUAUGUUGAAAACUUUGGUUAGACUUCCUAGAAAUCUUGCAGCAUUAGCAAGUUGUAGAGGUGAGUAUUUUAAGGGGGUUGAAUAGGUAUAAAUGGACAAAUUCAUACCAAUAUCAUGGUGAAUAGAGCAAGACCAACUAUCUUGGAAGACCCUUGUGGCAGAAACUAUUGAUUACUUAUCCCAAAUGAACCACCCCUUUUCUUCCUUCCUAGAAGAGCACUGCAUUUGUUUAGCAAUUGGGUUUACAGGCAUUCCAAAGACCCCUCUCCAGCCCCAGAGACAAAUGUGAUUACUGUAAGACAAUUGUGGGUAGUGUAUAAGAAGCCUUUGGGAAAUGUCUCCCUUGAAAUACAUAAAGAGAAGCAUGAGAGGAACGCCUUCUUCUUUGCUGGAUGUCAUGUCUGCAUGUACCAUCUGGAAUUGCUACAGCCAACUUGCAAAUAUAAAGGAGGGCUUUGUUAACCUGCUGAGCACAGCAGAGUGGAAAGAUGCAGAGCACCUGCUCCUGGGAACUGACCACCUUCAGACUUCUUGCCACAUAAGGACUCUCAGAACUGGAGAGUUGAAAAUGACACUAUUGGCACUUGAAUGAUAUCACUGGAACAAGGAUGACAAUAACCAAGUGUUGAUUAUUAACAAGAUCAAUCCAAGAUGUGAAAUGCAGGAAAUUACUUUGGACUGAGGGAUGAAAACACAUCUGAGACACCAGUAAGACUCUCAGUCAGUCUGCUGCCAGAGGAGAUUGAUAGAGAAUUGCCACAACCUGCAGAGAACCCUGGUUGAGUCUAUCACAAUUUUUGUGAGAUGGAUGCACAGAAAUGUGAACUUUGUAGCAUUCCAGAUGCCUCUCAGCGGAGGAAUGUUUCUUGGUUGAUGUCUAGGGGCAUGUCUUAUGUCUAACUCAUGAGAAGAGGAUUUUAAAAAAAUAAAGGGUGGAACACCAGGCUUUGGCCA